GCUGUCAAUCAAAGCUUUGGUGUUCAUAUCAGCUUCCUAAGGUAUGGAUUUUGAUAUGUGUAAUAAAUUUGAAGCUUCUGGUACGGUUUAAGGUGUGAUGGUCCACUUUCUGCAGCAGAAGAACGUCAAACUUUUUCCUUCCUUUGACCACUCUAUUUAUAGUUUGACAAUUCUAAUUAUAGCGUUUUCACUUUGUUGUAGAUCUUCAGGUUGAUCAAGGAUUAAAUUCAAUAUAAUCAUUGUUUUAUUGAGAAUAAGAUUUACGCAAAUUUUCAAGCUAUGUUUUCUCGCAGCUCUACUAUUUCAUUGUUUAUUCUGCUUAAAUGCAUACGCAACAACUGAGAUCAUGUGAAUAUGUUAUGUUCUCAGGUAUUCGCUUUGGGCAAAAAUUGCAAGUAGAGAUGAUGAAGCUUUUGCAUAUGUUCAUAACUUCAUCAAAACCAGUGAUGGAUAUUCUGCUGAUAACGACAGUUGGAUUUUAUAUCGCUCUUGAUGGAGUCAAUCUUCUUGGUCAUGGUGCUCACAAAUAUUUGAACAACGUUGGUUAUUACUUAAUUCACUCAUUUUGUUAAUAAAUCUAAUAUACCACUCAACUUUAGUUUAGUUUUUCUGUAAAGACAAAGGAGGUCUACUUAGAGAUCCUGAGAAUUGCCACAAAUAUGGAAUGGGUUAUGUCUCACUCUGCAUGGCCGUAAGUGUUCUUCUCACUUCUUCAAGAUUUUAUCGCUGUAUAUAAUUUUUUUGAGGGACAUUUGCUAAAACCAACCCAAAAAUUCAAGUCAAAUGUAAAAGUAUACCCCACUUUCAGUCAAAUGCAAAACCAACCUAAAAGAGUGGUAAAAGUACUAUUUAACCCUUAUGACCAAACAAAAAAAAAUGUAUUUUACAUUUAUGUCCUUCGUAAGUCUACAUAUAACAGAAAGAAGUCUACAUACAUGUAGACUUCAUACGAACUCUACCUUGUAGAUUUAUUAUAUAGUCUACAUUUUAAUUUGAUCUAAUAAUUUAAUUUUAAAAAUGUAUAAAAAUAUUUGUUAUGAAAUUUUUAGUUAACCUUCAAUAUAAGGGUUAAUAUAAGGUUUAUAAAUUAAAAGUUUAUAUAAUUUAACAAUUUAAGACAAUAUAUAUUGAUUUGGUAACCAUGUGUUAGAACAUUGGUUAUGGUAUAGCAACAAAAGGUUCUAACAUAUUAUGUCUAUAAGGGUUAGAUUCUUAGGGUUAGAUUUUAGAUUGAGAUUUUUUUAUUAAUUUAAAUUUGUAUAUUAGUGUUGAGUAGUUUAUAUUUUGCAAAUUUUGAUAUUUGAUACAAUAGUUAGGAUUUUUUUGAUUAUCAAGCAAAUAUUUAGGGUUUGAGAUUUGUGAUUUAGGGUUUCGUAGACUUACAAUAAAGUCUACUUCACUGUAGACGAUUUUUUCUGUCUAUGUUAAUCGGUUUUACAAAAAAUAUUAUUUUAAAAUUAAAUUUAGUUCUUUAUGAAUAAAAAUGUGAAAUCAUAUAUUAUAACUAUUAAAAAAAAUUUAGUAAAUCAUAUAUUAAAAUUAUUAAAACAAUAAACUAUUAAAAUAGUUAAGAACAAAAGAAAUUUAAAUCAUAUAUUAUACUUAAAAAUAAUAAAAGAUAAAUAUCAAAAAAUCAUAGUAGACUUAUUUACAAGUCUACCAAACCGAAAAUAAUUUAUGCUAACCAGACUUUAACCAAAAUAGUUUAAUUUAACCAAACUUAAACCAGGAAAAUUUUAACCUAACCGGAUCACGUACCCCACAUAUAAAUACACUUUCUUUUGUGAAAUUAGGUUAAAAUCACAAAACCUAGCGCCGUUGCUCUUUCUCUCCGACAAGGCGAUUUCCGGCACGAUUUUCGGCACAUUUCCAGCGGUCUUCAAGUAGUUUCCAUCACCGUCCUGUCGUCGCUGCAACAUCUUCCCUCUGACAUGGUCUGUUUGAUGUCUAUUUUCAGAACUUCGUCAGAGUCAUGUCGUUGUUGUUGUCGUGUCAGAGUCGUGUCGGUUGUAGUCGUUGUUGUCGAUUUCGUAGUUGUUUGUUUGUUAAGUAAUCUUUUAAUUUUCUUUUGUUUCAGAUCUGGUUGGUUUCACGGCGAGCAGUGCUUCUGGUCUCAGAUGUGGGAGAUGUUGAAAGUAUCCACCCCGAAGACAACUCAUCACAAUGAUCUUGUAAGUUUAGCUCGUAAAUAUUCCCUGAACUUGGUAGUUCAUUAUUAGAGCUUUCUGAAUUUUCUAGUUUGGGUUGCACUAGCAGGUUAGCUUCUCAGCUCUUGGCAUGGCUCGGUCUUGGUAGGUUUCACUUUACGUUUCUCUUAAUCUGAAAAGCACAAAAAAAUUUGAAACUGUUUUUGUUUGUUUGUUUCUUUAACAGACGUUUAAGAGAGAUUCUCCACUGGUUGUAGACAUGACAACAUCAAUCCUGAAACUCUGAGACGAGAAAAUUGCAAGACGGGUGGAAGCUUUGUAUCCGAGUAUGCAGACCAUGUAUAUAUACUUCUCAAAUGCAGCACAUGAAGGAUAUUGCUGGUACUUUGGCGGCAGAAGAUGCUGGCCAAGUGGCUAAGCUUCGAUCAGUUCUGGAGUCCGUUGACCACAAAAGAAGAAAGAUUUUACAACAAAUGAGAGGUGAUGCACAUUUGCUUAACUUGGAAGAAGGCAGUCCUCCUAUUCAACCCAAGUUCUUCAGCCCCAUUCAUCAUAAAAUGUGGAGGUAACACCAACUCAGAGCUAGUGAUCAAGGCUGAUGCACGCGUUCAAGAGCCCAAAGGGAGGUGAACUUGAAAGAGUUAUCCCAAGAGAUUCUGUUUUAGUAAAGCAUGAGCUACCAAGGCUCUACAAUUUGGCGCAUUGUGAUCUUAUAUAUUAUUUUCGGCGACUGGCCAAAUUUGGCGCAUUUAUGCUACCUUUGGGGUCCAUAUCCAUUGUCUGUAUGUAACUUCACUUUGUAUAUUGCUAUCAUUCACAGAUCAAUAAUUGUUUACUUUCACAGCCA